GUCAAUAAAAUGUCAUAAAAGUUUGAUCAUGUGUUGAUUUCCUUACUGCAUAGCUGGUCUAAGUUCAUAUAGCAAAAUGGCAAGUAACACGAGAAAGGAGUACAAUUGUCGUUUCGACAAGUAUGAUAAGUGUACAUAUGGUUUUUAUUUCGUUCAGCUGAGCAAGACAUUUGCUAGAAGCCUCCCCAUUUACAAUUAAUAUUCACCAUUUUCAGAUAUCGGAUGACAAAAAUUGUACCUCACCAACCACGAAGAUGAAGAGAAUCAGUCUCCUUUAGGGCACAGCAAGUCAGAGCAUGGUUGGACGACCUGCCUGGAGCAUUCUCUUCAGCACUUCCAUCCCAAAAGAUGAACUUAAAGAAAGCAAGACAUAACUUAUUUAGCUGGAUCAAUA
rnacentral:lncRNA from 1 species